UACAGAGGGUGCGAGCGUUGUCCGGAAUCACUGGGCGUAAAGGGCGCGUAGGCGGUUUGGCAAGUCUAUGGUGAAAGCUCGCCGCUCAACGGCGAGUCGGCCACGGAUACUGCUGAACUGGAGCACUGUAGAGGCAGGUGGAAUUCCGGGUGUAGCGGUGGAAUGCGCAGAUAUCAGGAAGAACACCCGUGGCGAAGGCGGCUCUCUGGGACGGUACUGACGCUGAGACGCGAAAGCGUGGGGAGCGAACAGG
rnacentral:rRNA from 1 species